AACCUUAAACACUCUAAUAGUUUAUGAAAAACAUUGGUCUUGUAAGCCAAAGACUGAAGACUACACCUCU
rnacentral:tRNA from 1 species